rnacentral:lncRNA from 1 species
GCCGUGUUUGGAAAUUUUAAAAUUGUACCAGCGUCUGUGGUGUUCGCUUAAAUUGUAUAAAUUUCAAGAUUUUGAAAAAAGUUUCUCAGUUUGAAUAUAUUGACAUGAUUCAUUUGACAUCGUGCUAUUAUUGAAGAAGGAUAUCUGUUAUCCGAAAUAUCUAAUAUUUGUUCAUUUUAUAGUUAUUUAAUGGUGAUAUUGUAC